ensembl:snoRNA small nucleolar RNA, C/D box 112
UGGACCAAUGAUGGCAAAGUGUUUAUGAACAAAGGAUCAUGAUGAAUCCAGUUCUGUGCAAAAUACUGAGGUCCAUU